GACGACGCUGGCGGCGUGCUUAACACAUGCAAGUCGAACGGACGAGUGAGAUAAGUUUACUUAACUCACAAGUUAGUGGCGGACGGGUGAGUAACACGUGGAUAAUCUACCUGCAACACCGGGAUAACGCUGUGAAAACGGUGCUAAUACCGGAUACGUUCCCUUGUGCGCAUGUAUGAGGGAAGAAAGCUCAGGCGGUUGCAGAUGAGUCCGCGGCUGAUUAGCUAGUUGGUGAGGUAAAAGGCUCACCAAGGCGAUGAUCAGUAGCCGGCCUGAGAGGGUGAACGGCCACACUGGGACUGAGACACGGCCCAGACUCCUACGGGAGGCAGCAGUGGGGAAUCUUCCGCAAUGGGCGCAAGCCUGACGGAGCAACGCCGCGUGGGUGAAGAAGGCCUUCGGGUUGUAAAGCCCUGUCUUAUGGGAAGAAGUCAGUGACGGUACCAUAGGAGGAAGCCACGGCUAACUACGUG
rnacentral:rRNA from 1 species